rnacentral:misc_RNA from 1 species
UUCAUUUAUUAUUAUUUAUUCCCCGCACAUCAUGCACAGGGGCCAUACUUUACUAUAUAAAACAAAGGAUAAUACAACUUGAGCAAGGAAACAUUAUUUCCUCCUCUUUACAUAAGUUCCUUCGAUCACUCUUCCUGCAUCAAACCACGCACCUUUUACACACAUAAGUUCCCUCAAUCACUCCUUAUACAUCAGACCAGGCAUCCAUGGGAAGCCAAAUCUAAUUUAACCACCAUGGGCGUCCAAAGGCAGCCUCAGGGCGGUAUUCAGGGUCCGGGAUCUCAUCGGGGUAGGCGCAGCACCGGCAGCCACCAUAGUAUCCGCGACGGCAGCAACCGUUGUAGCAGCGACCGCCGCCACCACCA